CUUCAACCCUGAUUGUUUCUGUUCUGAUCAUCAACAUCUUGCCACAGAAAUGGCAGCCAGGCUCUGUGUUCCAUCAGACAGCAAAGAUGGUCAUGUCCAUGACACCGGCUUUGGAUGUGCUCAUGAUUUCGGUCUUUAUCUGGAGAAGACUUAAAAGCAGGACCAAUCAAUUGACCAACAAGGAAUUUUUUGAGCAGUUUGCUCAACACAUGGAUGAGAGUCAUGUGAAAAUUUCAGCCCUGAAUAAAAAGUAAGCUACAGAUGAAUUUUAUCCACAUGUAAAGUAUUUGCCUCAGGAGAGCUUGUAUUUGCUAUAAUCCAUGUGUUUGUCCAUUUUACAUUAGAGACACUAAAGAAAAAAUUAGAAGAAUCGAAAGAAUGCUUUCUUCCUCCCAUCGUAAUAACUGGAACCUGAAGGCAAGUGUCAGAGAGCUGCAAAGGAGAUGCAUGAAUAUGUGUGAAGAGAGAGAUGCACUUGACUUGAUGCUGGAGGAGAGAGAGAAAAGUGCUGAUCUGGAGCAGGAGGAAUUUAAGAAGACAUUUCAAGAGAAAGAGAUGGCUCUACAGCAGAUAGAUGAGUGUCACAUGGUACACACCUCCAUGUGCUGUGAGCCGGUUUAUAAAAAGCGCACAAGUUACUGCUGGCUCCAGCACAGUGUAAGACUGAAGCUGGUGUGCUUCGUGCUGCAGGAAGCUGGGGCAGCUUGAGCAGGACUGGAGAGAAAAGCUGAAAAGAGUGAUGGAGGAGAGGAGCGAGCAGGAGCAGCGUGUGAAGAAGGAGAUCCAGGCUCUGCUCCUUAAGCUGUUCAAGACUGAGCAGCUGCACCAGACCCAGAUAUGUGACUAUGAGGUCAAGUACAGGGACUCACUAAAACUGGUGUCUGUGCUGCAUUGUCAAAUCGAGGAGCGUGAGGUGAGAGGCUGAAAUGGAGGUCGGCAGGAAGAUCCGCU